GUGGGGAAUUUUGGACAAUGGGCGCAAGCCUGAUCCAGCAAUGCCGCGUGCAGGAAGAAGGCCUUCGGGUUGUAAACUGCUUUUGUACGGAACGAAACGGUCCUGGCUAAUAUCCGGGGCUAAUGACGGUACCGUAAGAAUAAGCACCGGCUAACUACGUGCCAGCAGCCGCGGUAAUACGUAGGGUGCGAGCGUUAAUCGGAAUUACUGGGCGUAAAGCGUGCACAGGCGGUGCUGUAAGACAGGCGUGAAAUCCCCGGGCUCAACCUGGGAAUUGCGCUUGUGACUGCAGUGCUGGAGUGCGGCAGAGGGGGAUGGAAUUCCGCGUGUAGCAGUGAAAUGCGUAGAUAUGCGGAGGAACACCGAUGGCGAAGGCAAUCCCCUGGGCCUGCACUGACGCUCAUGCACGAAAGCGUGGGGAGCAAACAGGAUUAGAAACCCUUGUAGUCC
rnacentral:rRNA from 1 species